ACUAACAUCACUGCAUAUCUGAGCCAAUAUAUAGGAGAUGCCACCAGCAGAUGUGACAUUCUGCCUUUUAAGUCCUCAAGUGUGCAGAGCUCCAGAGAGGUCAGAGUCUGAAGCAGCCCUUGUUGGGGCUGGAGGGGUCUUCUGUGAGAUCUCAACCCCUUUGACUUCUCAAGAUACACAGAUUCACUUCCUGGGAGCCAGUAUGCCUCCACCCCACAACAGAGCACCAUGUCUACUGUCACUGACACACAAAUCCUGAGAUGUGCUGUCUUGUAUGGUUUAACCUUUUCUCAGUUCGAGCAGAAACACCAAUCAGCCAGACCAUCGACCUCGACAGAAUUAGCGUUAUCACAACUGUCAGUUGGAUUGCUGCUUGUAGUUCUGUGCAAGGACAAGGGAUGACUAGGGAGUUGAUGAUGUGCUCUUCCUUUGGCAGUCAAUCUAUCAUGAAGGAGGGCUCAUGAAUGCAGAUGCAGUCUCAGGAGCAACUGACUGGAUUGCAGUGGGAAGAGAGUCUGAUGCUACAGCACAGACCUGCCCACCCCAGCACGUACCUCUCUGACUCAACAGCCACCUUUUCCUCUUGGGCUCUCGGGGAGAUAAUGAGCCUGGCUAAAUUCACUGAGGCCAACCUGAUUUGCAUCCUUCCUUUCUACUAUACAUCCAGCCAUCAAACUUCCUGUUCCUGAACUCAUUGAUUGGGAUACUCAUUCAAAUAUUUGUUUCCAGGCUUUUCAAGCUAUGAAAAUGCUGUCUUGCUUUCCCAAACCAUGGCUACUUCUCUGGGAAUAGCUUUAUUUGGCUGUGAUGAAUCCAGGCCCUGCAUAUCCAGGCUGCUGCAUGAGAUGCUGGAGACUACUAUAGAAACCGAGGUCAGGAAGAAAGCAGGGCUGCAGAGAAACACUCACUGGGCUGGAAUAUGUUUGCUAUUUGAGAAAAAUGAUGGACAAGUGCCUCAAAGGGGGGACUUGACUCCUAGGACCCCCCAUGAGGACUUCCUCAGGACUGAGCUCUAUCCCUACAGUGACAGUCAUAUUCUCCAGCUUCCUAAUAGCAAAAUUUGUGGUUUAUUUCCAAUAUUUUCCUCUUUAUGACAAUGUGCUAGAGGAUAAUUUGAACACAGAUCAUUUCACACCUAUAUAGAUUUUUCUGUAAAAUAAAAUCCUGGAAGUAGGCA
rnacentral:lncRNA from 12 species